rnacentral:lncRNA from 1 species
GAAAAGUCGAUCUUCAAAAAGUCGAUUCCUAGUGCACUUGGAGGAUUCCUUGGAAGUCGAUGUCUGAAAGCUCCUUGAGGGGUCGACUUUUUCCUUGGAAGGAAAAGUCGAUCUUCCGAAAUGUCGAUCCCUUGCUGGCUGAUUUCCUCGCAGAACUUCCUAGCUGGCGACUUGGAAAAAAGUCGAUCCCUUUUUUCGAAAAAGUCGAGGAGCUUUUGUCGUGAGUAUCUUUGUCCCACAGACGGCGCCAACUGAUGGGGGUGAAACCCGACCAGUACUCCAAGACGCGCAAGCAAGCGCCAAGCGGGGAACUCC